rnacentral:rRNA from 1 species
AUGGGGAGGCAGUCCAGCACCCAGUUCGGUGCUCUGGGAGAAACUGAAGAGCUUCCUGGGCAUAAACAAGCAGAGAAGCUUCAAGUUCCUGUCCAUGGAGAAGCAUCAGAGUUUCGAGGGGAGGAGGAGCAGGGACAACCCUGGAAAGAAGAGGGUGAUAGCGCACCACCUCGCGGCAAGGACCGGCAAUAUCUGCCAUGUCCGACAAAUGGUGCAGUUGUUCCGUUUGCCUCAUUCAAUUUGGUCCAUAGACUGUUGCCAUUUGAUAUAAGUGACAAAGAACAACUUCAACUGAAGAAACUAUUGUUGUUGUUCAGUACAGAGUACUACCAAACAUCAAGCUCAAUCUUGCCCGCUUUGAUGCUAUGUACGAGUGGAUAA